UACGGAGGUGGCAAGCGUUGCUCGGAAUCAUUGGGCGUAAAGCGCGCGUAGGUGGCCUCAUAAGUCCGCUGUGAAAGUCAAAAGGCUCAACCUUUUGAAAGCCGGUGGAUACUGUGAGGCUAGAGUUACGGAAGAGGCGAGUGGAAUUCCUGGUGUAGCGGUGGAAUGCGCAGAUAUCAGGAGGAACACCAAUAGCGAAGGCAGCUCGCUGGGACGUUACUGACACUGAGGCGCGAAAGCGUGGGGGAGCGAACAGG
rnacentral:rRNA from 1 species